rnacentral:rRNA from 1 species
GUGGGGAAUUUUGGACAAUGGGCGCAAGCCUGAUCCAGCAAUGCCGCGUGCAGGAAGAAGGCCUUCGGGUUGUAAACUGCUUUUGUACGGAACGAAACGGUCCGGGUUAAUACCCUGGGCUAAUGACGGUACCGUAAGAAUAAGCACCGGCUAACUACGUGCCAGCAGCCGCGGUAAUACGUAGGGUGCAAGCGUUAAUCGGAAUUACUGGGCGUAAAGCGUGCGCAGGCGGUUUUGUAAGCCAGGCGUGAAAUCCCCGGGCUCAACCUGGGAAUUGCGCUUGUGACUGCAAGGCUGGAGUGCGGCAGAGGGGGAUGGAAUUCCGCGUGUAGCAGUGAAAUGCGUAGAUAUGCGGAGGAACACCGAUGGCGAAGGCAAUCCCCUGGGCCUGCACUGACGCUCAUGCACGAAAGCGUGGGGAGCAAACAGGAUUAGAUACCCGUGUAGUCC